UACGUAGGGUGCGAGCGUUGUCCGGAAUUAUUGGGCGUAAAGAGCUCGUAGGCGGUGUGUCGCGUCGGCCGUGAAAACCUGGGGCUCAACUCUGGGCGUGCGGUCGAUACGGGCAUCACUUGAGUUCGGCAGGGGAGACUGGAAUUCCUGGUGUAGCGGUGAAAUGCGCAGAUAUCAGGAGGAACACCGGUGGCGAAGGCGGAUCUCUGGGCCGUAACUGGACGCUGGAGGA
rnacentral:rRNA from 1 species